GAUGAACGCUGGCGGCGUGCCUAAUACAUGCAAGUCGAGCGAACAGACGAGGAGCUUGCUCCUCUGACGUUAGCGGCGGACGGGUGAGUAACACGUGGAUAACCUACCUAUGAGACUGGGAUAACUUCGGGAAACCGGAGCUAAUACCGGAUAAUAUAUUGAACCGCAUGGUUCAAUAGUGAAAGACGGUUUUGCUGUCACUUAUAGAUGGAUCCGCGCCGCAUUAGCUAGUUGGUAAGGUAACGGCUUACCAAGGCAACGAUGCGUAGCCGACCUGAGAGGGUGAUCGGCCACACUGGAACUGAGACACGGUCCAGACUCCUACGGGAGGCAGCAGUAGGGAAUCUUCCGCAAUGGGCGAAAGCCUGACGGAGCAACGCCGCGUGAGUGAUGAAGGUCUUCGGAUCGUAAAACUCUGUUAUCAGGGAAGAACAAAUGUGUAAGUAACUAUGCACGUCUUGACGGUACCUAAUCAGAAAGCCACGGCUAACUACGUG
rnacentral:rRNA from 1 species